UAGGGAAUCUUCCGCAAUGGGCGAAAGCCUGACGGAGCAACGCCGCGUGAGUGAUGAAGGUCUUCGGAUCGUAAAACUCUGUUAUUAGGGAAGAACAAAUGUGUAAGUAACUAUGCACGUCUUGACGGUACCUAAUCAGAAAGCCACGGCUAACUACGUGCCAGCAGCCGCGGUAAUACGUAGGUGGCAAGCGUUAUCCGGAAUUAUUGGGCGUAAAGCGCGCGUAGGCGGUUUUUUAAGUCUGAUGUGAAAGCCCACGGCUCAACCGUGGAAGGGCAUUGGAAACUGGAAAACUUGAGUGCAGAAGAGGAAAGUGGAAUUCCAUGUGUAGCGGUGAAAUGCGCAGAGAUAUGGAGGAACGCCAGUGGCGAAGGCGACUUUCUGGUCUGUAACUGACGCUGAUGUGCGAAAGCGUGGGGAUCAAACAGG
rnacentral:rRNA from 1 species